UACGAAGGGGGCUAGCGUUGUUCGGAAUUACUGGGCGUAAAGCGCGUGCAGGCGGUCCUUCAAGUCAGAGGUGAAAGCCCAGAGCUCAACUCUGGAAUGGCCUUUGAGACUAGAGGACUUGGGUACGGGAGAGGUGAGUGGAAUUCCGAGUGUAGAGGUGAAAUUCGUAGAUAUUCGGAAGAACACCAGUGGCGAAGGCGGCUCACUGGCCCGAUACUGACGCUGAGGUGCGAAAGCGUGGGGAGCAAACAGG
rnacentral:rRNA from 1 species